AUGAAUCCAACAAAAAACAGUGGUCGCGGCGGCGAAUUUGACAUUCCUUCUAAUAAUCCUCAUGGAAACAGAGUUGAGAGAAUACAGAAAAACAUUGAUACCAUUGGCAGCCGCAGUGCACACGGCACCACCACAACGCAUCCCGCCAGGCAGCUGCCGAGGACGACACACAGCAGGCGCUGCGCCAGACCGCCUCCCGCGCCUCCACACAGGCCUGCCGAUCUGGCGAGCAACCGAGCCAGCCCCGCAUCCCCUGUCGCCCAGCCACCCACCGGAGAGCUCCACCACCACGGCACGGGGAUGCCGCCGCCGCCGCCGUCACAGGCCGGGCCGCGGCUGGACGACGAGGCGUUGGCCUUCUCGGGGUCAACGCGAGCAGACGAAGCGGCGCGAGAUCAUCGGCCGGACCUAGGGCAUGCGCAGGUGGCGGAGGCUAUGGACGUCCGAAUCGAGCCGAAGCCGACGCAGGGAUCAGAUACUGGGCUGGCGGCCAGAUCGGGCGACGCAGCUCCAAACCGCCAUCCAUGGCGUCCUCUCGUGGUUCCUCACCGACAGGGGGGUUGCUGCCCUGGCCCCCGCCAGCCACCACGGCUGCGCACAGUGGGAAGGCUAGGCCAAGCUGUUCGUGGGCUAGAUCGGGGUGGAUGA
rnacentral:rRNA from 1 species